AUUGAACGCUGGCGGCAGGCCUAACACAUGCAAGUCGAGCGGAUGAAGGGAGCUUGCUCCUGGAUUCAGCGGCGGACGGGUGAGUAAUGCCUAGGAAUCUGCCUGGUAGUGGGGGAUAACGUCCGGAAACGGGCGCUAAUACCGCAUACGUCCUGAGGGAGAAAGUGGGGGAUCUUCGGACCUCACGCUAUCAGAUGAGCCUAGGUCGGAUUAGCUAGUUGGUGGGGUAAAGGCCUACCAAGGCGACGAUCCGUAACUGGUCUGAGAGGAUGAUCAGUCACACUGGAACUGAGACACGGUCCAGACUCCUACGGGAGGAAGCAGUGGGGAAUAUUGGACAAAGGGCGAAAGCCUGAUCCAGCCAUGCCGCGUGUGUGAAGAAGGUCUUCGGAUUGUAAAGCACGUUAAGUUGGGAGGAAGGGCAGUAAGUUAAUACCUUGCUGUUUUGACGUUACCAACAGAAUAAGCACCGGCUAACUUCGUG
rnacentral:rRNA from 1 species